rnacentral:piRNA from 1 species
UUUCAUCAGAUGGUUCUAGAA